rnacentral:sRNA from 1 species
UCAGAUCUCUAUUGUUUCCUACGGUAAAGAAAAACCAGCUAUACUUGGUCAUAAUGAAGUUGCUUAUGCUAAAAAUCGUCGUGCUGUUCUAGUAUAUUAAUAAAUUAAUAUGAAUAUUAAAUUUAGAGCAUAUAUAGUU